rnacentral:lncRNA from 1 species
AUAAACCCCAUUAUAACAUUUCCCCCAAAACAAACCCCAAACCUGAAAGACCUAGAAACGGCGCCCAAUGCACUGUUCACCGUCUCCCUUAUCUGAGCCAACCUCAACUCAGGCGAGUUCACUCACACACGGGACCCAUCUCUCCACAUCACUCUAAUCUUAACGGAUUUCUGACAAAAUAGAAGAUUCCUUCCGAAUUUGCACGUUUUUAGUCCCUUGAUCGAUUUGUUGGAAGAAUGGGAGCCGUGGAUGGAUGGAAAUCAAUCAAUGCCUUCCAUUUGUCCCUAAAAUCAUUCACAAAGGGAUUGCAUUUUUUGGAUUUUUUGAAGAAGGUUAUAGAAAUAUGGGAGGCUUAUAUAAGGUAAGGAUUUUCUUGGAAAGGGAGAGCAGAUUUUGAGAGAGGAUUUUCGGAAAGAAAUUGAAAGCAGAAAAUUAGGGUUCAAAAUAUUUUUCUUCUCUUCUACUGUUCUUUUUUUUUUCGUUUCUGGUCUGAGAACAGAGAAAAAAUACAAAAAUAUUGUUGAAGUGUUCUAUGGUUUCAUUUCAAUGUCAAUUACUGAUAUUUAUUAAAUUCUGAAAAUAAGCCUAACAAACAGCGACCAAGUAAACAUGAUCACUUUGUUUCCUCGAUCUCUUCCAGCGAAUUUAAAUGUAUUUGAGUUGGUUUUCUUAUGGAUGUUUCACGGUUUGGAUAUACUUUGUCUCUUUGAGCAUAUGUCAUUGAAGUGCUAUUUUAUCAUUAAACUUGUCAUAUUCUUUUGAUAAUUUUGUGUGAAUAAUCAUGACUAAAAAUUGAUGUUCAUUUGUUAAUGACUGAGAUUAUAGUGUUGGCAUUACUGUUUCCUCAUCUAGUCGUAAGAAUUAAUAGGUUUUACAAACUAAGUGGCUAAAAUUUUGAAACGCAAUAGGGGCUACAUUUACAAUGGGAUAAAAUGGCUAAAAUCAGAUUUCUUAAAGGGGUUGUUAAUUAAAUAUAAGGCAAAAAAUAAAACCUUACUAGCUAGUAUAGUUUUGAAUGAAAGGUUAGCCUUUAAAGUUUAAAUCAGAGGAUGGCGAACAAAAUACACGUCUUCUCAGAUCUUCUUUCUAUAAUCCAUGACCAUUCACAUGCUAUCUAAACUUUGGGAAAACUAAUUGACCUAUGAACCCCGUAGCUUGCUUUAGGCGCGACUUAAUCUAUCGUCGUGAUUGUGGACACGUUCGCGUAACAUAAUUAUGAUUCUUAAAACAAAAUCGGAGUAUGCGUUCGCACAACUUCGACUAAACUUUCUUAAUAAUAAUAAAGCGUUAUUAAUUGUGGACACGUUCGCGUGACAUGAUUUUCGACACGCCAAACAAAUAGGUACACGUGCGCGUGACCUGUUUUAAGAUAAUUUCUUAAUUAAAAGAGGCAAAUGCACAUAGGUUCUAAAAUGAGUAAUUAGACAAUUUGAUUAAGCCAAGUAUAAUCAAAGCGACCGUGCUAAAACCGCGGAACCCGGGAAUGCCUAACACUUACUCCCGGGUUAACAAAAUUCUUUAUCCGAAUUUUUGUGUUCGCAGAACAUAAAUAAGAGUCAAAACCUUCCUCGAUUCGGGAUUUAAACCGGUGACUUGGGACACCAUAAAUCAUCCCAAGUGGCGACUCUGAUUUUGAUAUAAAUAAUCCCGUUUCGAUUGUCACUUAAAUUGAAAAAACUCCCUUAUAUCCCUUCCGGGGGUAGUAAAAAGGAGGUGUGACAGCUCUGGCGACUCUGCUGGGGAUAAAAACCCAGAAUCUCUGGUUCAGGGUUCAAGAAUUCGAGCUUUUUAAUAUGAUUUUAUUUGGCUUUAUUUAUUGUUAAUAUUACUGUAUUUUGUGAACCUUUUGUGCUAAUGACUGUCUAUUUACCGAUUUGAUAUUAUUUGAAUUGUAUAUAACUGUCUUCUUACGUCACCCCUCUUAGUCUUCUAAAAAUGAUGCACACAUUCGCGUGGUGCGCUUUUUCUAUAGAAGUCAUCCCAAAUAGAACGAGGCUGAGCCAGUAACAAGGCCGGGUAGACUUUAGUGCUCCUGGUACGUUGCCCCCUAUUCGGCUCGAGUUGUCCACUCGGGUAAGACAUGUCAAGAACACAACCCCAGGUUUAAACUUAGAAUAACACAACCUCAUGCUGGAUCCCUAGUAGGAAUGUUUGUUUGCAUCACGUGCAUUUGACUUUGAGGACUCAACACAAGGGUUGAGUCCGUCUAGGACAGGUGUACCCAAAAUAACAGACCAUCCUGAUACAUCCUAUGUGCUAUGUGAACAUUUAUUUAUUUCGGCUUGCAUGUUGACCGGCUAGGAAAAGUAAAUUAAGAGGAAAACCAAGAGUGAUGUAGGGAAGAAAUAAAGCCCGGUUCUAAAAAAUCCCUGGUAUUUGGAAAUGUCCCGAAACUCUGUCAAAAUUUUCAAAAAAAGAGAGAAAAAGAACAGAGUCAAGGAAAAAGAGUCAUUUCAAAAUGAGUCAAUAAUAUAUCUCUUCCAAAUAUGUCAAAACUGACCGAACUACGCAUGAUCUGAUUCUCACCGGAUGUGGAAUACGUAGGCAACCUACAUAAGGGUCGGCCUUAUUUUUUGAAAAGAAAAAAGAAGAAGAAGAGUAAAUAGUCAAAUAGAUGUAGUUUGGGCCGACCCAGCUGCGGUCAUGUCUUAAGCCAUUCUUGCCGGGAUAGCCUUAGAGUAUCUUUCUGUUGUCGAAGGUCUAUUUUCGUAAAGAAUUGAUAAGUCUCAUUUUUCCAUAAAGUACUUUUCCCUCGCCUCAAAAUUUAUUUGGAAUUGUGAAGGGGCCACGUUUGCAAAAACGAUCACUUUUGCUAAAAGUAGCAUAGAGGGGAGGGGGUCAUGUUCCGUUGAUUUUUCUUUUAGAAAUUGAAAAACCUAUUUUACAAAAAGUCCACCAGAGUCAAACCUAACCUUAACCUUCCACAGGUACAAAUGAACACUGUCUAGAAUCUGUCACAUUUGGUCAUAG